AGGUUGUGUUGGCUGUCUAUGGACAGGCCAUACCCGGUAUGGGAAUGGGUAGCGGCAUGAAGCUAUGUGGGACCCAAUAUUGUCAAAUGGGACAGAUGUGUUCUUACCAAUAUGGAUACCCAUCCUGCGUCUAUGCUAACGGUGGUGGCAUGUACCCUGGCAUGGGAGGUGGCAUGUAUCCACCAGGUAUGGGUAUGAACCCAGGUAUGGGCAUGAACCCAGGAAUGGGCAUGAACCCAGGAAUGGGCAUGGGCAUGGCUAUGACUGCAGAAGAUAAACCUGCUACCGCUCCUAGAACUGGCGAUGAUGAAGAAGAAACAACCGAAGAGCCAACUAAAGAUGUACCAGUUACCGAUAUAACCCAACCCUUGUAAAUUCUGAAAAUAUUGACUUAUUUUGAUUACAUACUCUUUCAAACCUUUUCCAACCGCGUGAAUAUUUUAAGAAAAUAAAAGUAACAUUAAUUAUUUAAAAUAAGUGAAUGACAACUUUAAUGUUAUCGGGUUUCAGUUUUGUAUUCAGAAACGAUCUAUGUCCAUAAUAUUAAAUAUUAAAUAAAUAAAUACUGAUCUAUAUUCCGUUUCGUUUUUAUGCUUUCGAUGGCUUCCACAGCAUAGCGUAUUGCAGACAAGUAAAACGGAAUUUUGAACUAUAAAUAACGAAACGAAAUAGUGUCUGUGGUUUAAUCAGAUUGCAAAUAAAUCUAAUGUUAAUAAAUUAUCUAUAUUUGAUAUUAUAAUCCACAAAUCCAAUACACAAAAUCAU